rnacentral:rRNA from 1 species
AUAUUGCACAAUGGUGGAAACCCUGAUGCAGCGACGCCGCGUGGAGGAAGAAGGUCUUCGGAUUGUAAACUCCUGUCCCAGGGGACGAUAAUGACGGUACCCUGGGAGGAAGCACCGGCUAACUACGUGCCAGCAGCCGCGGUAAAACGUAGGGUGCAAGCGUUGUCCGGAAUUACUGGGUGUAAAGGGAGCGCAGGCGGAUUGGCAAGUUGGGAGUGAAAUCUAUGGGCUCAACCCAUAAAUUGCUUUCAAAACUGUCAGUCUUGAGUGGUGUAGAGGUAGGCGGAAUUCCCGGUGUAGCGGUGGAAUGCGUAGAUAUCGGGAGGAACACCAGUGGCGAAGGCGGCCUACUGGGCACUAACUGACGCUGAGGCUCGAAAGCAUGGGUAGCAAACAGG